rnacentral:lncRNA from 1 species
UCGACCCAACCUACGAACAACUUGUUUAAGCAGGUUUAUAUUUGAUAACCAGUUUGGAUCAUAAAUGAGUCAAUCUGUCUAAAUUUAUUUAUUAAAUGGAUUGGGUUUAAGUUUAGAUUUUUAAUCCAUUUAUCCUAUUUUAAUCUAUUUAAUCAUUAGGUUGGAUCAUAAUCUAAUUUGUUUAAACUUUUUAGCCAAUUUAAAAUCUACUUAACUU